UACAGAGGGUGCAAACGUUAAUCGGAAUUACUGGGCGUAAAGCGCGCGUAGGUGGUUCGUUAAGUUGGAUGUGAAAUCCCCGGGCUCAACCUGGGAACUGCAUUCAAAACUGUCGAGCUAGAGUAUGGUAGAGGGUGGUGGAAUUUCCUGUGUAGCGGUGAAAUGCGUAGAUAUAGGAAGGAACACCAGUGGCGAAGGCGACCACCUGGACUGAUACUGACACUGAGGUGCGAAAGCGUGGGGAGCAAACAGG
rnacentral:rRNA from 1 species